AACCUUCCAAUGUGGAGCAACCAGACCUGGAACAAUUCAACCUGGAGCAACGAGACCCAGAACAUCCAGUCCUGGAGCAACCACUCCUGGAACACUCAGACCUGGUGCACCCAAUCCUGGAACAAUCAGGCCUGGAACAGUCCCUUCUAUAACUGUGGAGAGGAAUCUCUGCAGUCCUGCAUGCAGUUCCAGCCAAAUUCUCCUGCCAGUGACUUGGAGGCUGCCUUGGAAGCUGCUGGGGAAGGCCUUAAUGUAAUACAGCAGACCACUAGGUAUUUUAGUACUCCACAAACCAUGGAUUUAUUCCUAAACUACUCCAUGAACAUGCAACCUGAAGACGUGUGA
rnacentral:lncRNA from 1 species